rnacentral:rRNA from 1 species
GACGAACGCUGGCGGCGUGCUUAACACAUGCAAGUCGAACGGAAAGGCCCCUUUGGGGGUACUCGAGUGGCGAACGGGUGAGUAACACGUGAGUAACCUGCCCUUGACUUCGGGAUAACUUCAGGAAACUGGGGCUAAUACCGGAUAGGAAUCCUUGCUGCAUGGUGGGGGUUGGAAAGCUUCGGCGGUUUUGGAUGGACUCGCGGCUUAUCAGCUUGUUGGUGGGGUAGUGGCUUACCAAGGCUUUGACGGGUAGCCGGCCUGAGAGGGCGACCGGCCACAUGGGGAUUGAGAACGGCCCAAGACUCCACGGGGGGGCGGAAGGGGGAAUAUUUGCACAAGGGGGGGAGGCCUGAUGCAGCACCCCGGGGGGGGGGAUAGGGGCCUUGGGGUUGAAACCCGUUUGGAGCGGGGGGGAAGCUUGUGGUGACGUUCCCGGAAGAAGAAGCACCGCCUAACUACGUC